GACGAACGCUGGCGGCGUGCUUAACACAUGCAAGUCGAACGGAAAGGCCCUGCUUUUGUGGGGUGCUCGAGUGGCGAACGGGUGAGUAACACGUGAGUAACCUGCCCUUGACUUUGGGAUAACUUCAGGAAACUGGGGCUAAUACCGGAUAGGAGCUCCUGCUGCAUGGUGGGGGUUGGAAAGUUUCGGCUGUUGGGGAUGGACUCGCGGCUUAUCAGCUUGUUGGUGGGGUAGUGGCUUACCAAGGCUUUGACGGGUAGCCGGCCUGAGAGGGUGACAGGCCACAUUGGGACUGAGAUACGGCCCAGACUCCGACGGGAGGCAGCAGUGGGGAAUAUUGCACAAGGGGCGGAAGCCUGAUGCAGCAACGCCGCGUGCGGGAUGACGGCCUUCGGGUUGUAAACCGCUUUCGCCUGUGACGAAGCGUGAGUGACGGUAAUGGGUAAAGAAGCACCGGCUAACUACGUG
rnacentral:rRNA from 1 species